GUUUGCGUGUCGGAGAGGCUUAACGAGCCGGUUUGCUAAACCGGUGUGCGUCAAGCGCACCGCAGGUUCGAAUCCUGCCGCAAACG
rnacentral:tRNA from 1 species